rnacentral:rRNA from 1 species
GAUGAACGCUGGCGGCGUGCCUAAUACAUGCAAGUCGAGCGAACAGACGAGGAGCUUGCUCCUCUGACGUUAGCGGCGGACGGGUGAGUAACACGUGGAUAACCUACCUAUAAGACUGGGAUAACUUCGGGAAACCGGAGCUAAUACCGGAUAACAUGUUGAACCGCAUGGUUCAACAGUGAAAGACGGUUUUGCUGUCACUUAUAGAUGGAUCCGCGCCGCAUUAGCUAGUUGGUAAGGUAACGGCUUACCAAGGCAACGAUGCGUAGCCGACCUGAGAGGGUGAUCGGCCACACUGGAACUGAGACACGGUCCAGACUCCUACGGGAGGCAGCAGUAGGGAAUCUUCCGCAAUGGGCGAAAGCCUGACGGAGCAACGCCGCGUGAGUGAAGAAGGUCUUCGGAUCGUAAAACUCUGUUAUUAGGGAAGAACAAAUGUGUAAGUAACUAUGCACGACUUGACGGUACCUAAUCAGAAAGCCACGGCUAACUACGUG